rnacentral:lncRNA from 1 species
UACUCCCUCUGUCACGGUUUAGAAGGCACGUUUGAAAAAUCUCUGGGACCAAUGUAAUCAUCGAUUGGUUGUGAGAUGUAGCAGGUGUAAAUGAUAAUGCGCCUAAUCAACUGAGAAAAUACUAGUACUAAUGUGUGAUAAGCAAAUUGGAAGGGUGCAUGCAUGAGUAGUACUAGUACUAAUUAAUAGGAGUAAUUGUUUUCGCGCCUUAAACCUUGUCUAUUUUAGAAACGCACGCAAGUUUAACUGUGCAUUGU